GAUGAACGCUGGCGGCGUGCCUAAUACAUGCAAGUCGAGCGAACGGACGAGAAGCUUGCUUCUCUGAUGUUAGCGGCGGACGGGUGAGUAACACGUGGAUAACCUACCUAUAAGACUGGGAUAACUUCGGGAAACCGGAGCUAAUACCGGAUAAUAUUUUGAACCGCAUGGUUCAAAAGUGAAAGACGGUCUUGCUGUCACUUAUAGAUGGAUCCGCGCUGCAUUAGCUAGUUGGUAAGGUAACGGCUUACCAAGGCAACGAUGCAUAGCCGACCUGAGAGGGUGAUCGGCCACACUGGAACUGAGACACGGUCCAGACUCCUACGGGAGGCAGCAGUAGGGAAUCUUCCGCAAUGGGCGAAAGCCUGACGGAGCAACGCCGCGUGAGUGAUGAAGGUCUUCGGAUCGUAAAACUCUGUUAUUAGGGAAGAACAUAUGUGUAAGUAACUGUGCACAUCUUGACGGUACCUAAUCAGAAAGCCACGGCUAACUACGUGCCAGCAGCCGCGGUAAUACGUAGGUGGCAAGCGUUAUCCGGAAUUAUUGGGCGUAAAGCGCGCGUAGGCGGUUUUUUAAGUCUGAUGUGAAAGCCCACGGCUCAACCGUGGAGGGUCAUUGGAAACUGGAAAACUUGAGUGCAGAAGAGGAAAGUGGAAUUCCAUGUGUAGCGGUGAAAUGCGCAGAGAUAUGGAGGAACACCAGUGGCGAAGGCGACUUUCUGGUCUGUAACUGACGCUGAUGUGCGAAAGCGUGGGGAUCAAACAGGAUUAGAUACCCUGGUAGUCCACGCCGUAAACGAUGAGUGCUAAAUGUUAGGGGGUUUCCGCCCCUUAGUGCUGCAGCUAACGCAUUAAGCACUCCGCCUGGGGAGUACGACCGCAAGGUUGAAACUCAAAGGAAUUGACGGGGACCCGCACAAGCGGUGGAGCAUGUGGUUUAAUUCGAAGCAACGCGAAGAACCUUACCAAAUCUUGACAUCCUUUGACAACUCUAGAGAUAGAGCUUUCCCCUUCGGGGGACAAAGUGACAGGUGGUGCAUGGUUGUCGUCAGCUCGUGUCGUGAGAUGUUGGGUUAAGUCCCGCAACGAGCGCAACCCUUAAGCUUAGUUGCCAUCAUUAAGUUGGGCACUCUAAGUUGACUGCCGGUGACAAACCGGAGGAAGGUGGGGAUGACGUCAAAUCAUCAUGCCCCUUAUGAUUUGGGCUACACACGUGCUACAAUGGACAAUACAAAGGGCAGCGAAACCGUGAGGUCAAGCAAAUCCCAUAAAGUUGUUCUCAGUUCGGAUUGUAGUCUGCAACUCGACUACAUGAAGCUGGAAUCGCUAGUAAUCGUAGAUCAGCAUGCUACGGUGAAUACGUUCCCGGGUCU
rnacentral:rRNA from 1 species